AGUUAUAUAGUUUAAAAAAAACAUUAAUUUUGUAAAUUAAUAAUAAAUUAUAAGAUUUUAUAACUU
rnacentral:tRNA from 1 species